GGGGGGCUGGCGCAACGGUAGCGCGUCAGAUUCCAGUUGUAUCAUUGGGAUUACCUGAAGGUUAUCGGUUCAAAUCCGGUGUCCCUCA
rfam:Claviceps purpurea 20.1, WGS project CAGA01000000 data, contig: scaffold00032